rnacentral:rRNA from 1 species
AGUGAACGCUGGCGGUAUGCCUAAUACAUGCAAGUCGAACGGCCGCACAGUAAGCGCUUUCCCUUACGGUUGGCGAGUGGCGGACGGGUGAGGCAUACAUCGCCAUCUACUUUUUCUUGGGUGAUAUCGUAGGGCCACUUACGCUAAUACCUCAUACGACCUACGGGUUGAAGCAGGAGUUCUUCGGACCCUUCCUGUCACUAUGAGCCGGAGUCGGAUUAGCUAGUUGGCGUGGUAAAGGCCCACCAAGGCAACGCUCCGUAGCGGAUCUGAGAGGAUGAUCGGCCACACUGGAACUGAGACACGGUCCAGACUCCUACGGGAGGCAGCAGUAGGGAAUAUUGCACAAUGGGCGAAAGCCUGAUGCAGCCAUACCGCGUGAGUGAAGAAGGUCUUCGGAUCGUAAAACUCUGUUAUUAGGAAAGAAAAGAAGCAGAAGAAAAUCUGGAUAUCUUGACGGUACCCAAAGAGUAAGCACCGGCUAACUUCGUG